UGAGGGAUGGUAACGAACUUUUCUGUGUCUUUAGUUUGGAUAACAGAAGAAGAAAUAAAGGUGUGCCCUUUUUGAAGAAUUCAUGUUUGACAAUAGAGGAAUUUCUUCCAAGUGAGCUAUCAAACAUUGAAGAAUGAAUCUUCAUGUUUAUCUAGGAAAACUGCCAGUAAUUCCUAGAAACCAAUUUGUCCAGAGCAAAUAGUGAUGGACACUACACUUUUGGUUGUCCCGUGCACCAAGUCCAAGGUAAAAUUAUGGAAGAAAAUAAAUUUCCAAGCCUGAAAAUAGUAGAUAUUGGUCUUCUUAAGUCAUGGAGCAAUUCAGGAGGCAAUGUAUGUAAGGAAGAAGAGAAAGAGCAGAAGCAGAGUGGUGGUAAAGAACUACCUGGAAUGGAACAGAGA